AUCUCUGUAGAGUCUGCAUAUCAAUAAGCGGAGGAAAAGAAACUAACAAGGAUUCCCUUAGUAACGGCGAGUGAAGCGGGAAGAGCUCAAAUUUGAAAUCUUCAAGGUUUUACCUUGACGAAUUGUAGUUUAAAGAAGUGUUUUCUGUUGAAGUUUCGGUAAAAGUUCUUUGGAAUAGGACAUCAUAGAGGGUGAGAAUCCCGUAUUUGACCGUUAUUUUCAGCUGUGUGAUACACUUUCAAAGAGUCGGAUUGUUUGGGAAUGCAGUCCAAAAUGGGUGGUGAAUUUCAUCUAAAGCUAAAUAUUGGCGAGAGACCGAUAGCGAACAAGUACCGUGAGGGAAAGAUGAAAAGAACUUUGAAAAGAGAGUUAAACAGUACGUGAAAUUGUCAAAAGGGAAGCGUUUGACACCAGUGUUGUUUUCUCGAAAAUCAAUUAAAAAAGGCAGGAUUUUGUGUUGUAUUGACCUUAUCAGCUUUCUGCACUCUUUUCCUGUCUUUUUUUAAUGCACUUUUCGUUUAACAAGUCAACAUCAGUUUCUUUUGUUGUAAAAGAGUCAUUGGAAGGUGGCUUUCCUUUCGGAUGAAAGUGUUUAUAGCCUUUGGCUUCUGCAAUCGGAGAGAUUGAGGUCUGCAGCGUAGAUCCUUCGGGGCUAGAUACAUUAGAUGCUAAGUUAUAGCUUUUUAUAGACAACUUGUUGACUAUGAAUUAAGUCAUGUAGCUUACUCGUUAUGCCUAUUUUACCUACGCUUAGGAUGUUGAUCUGUAGUGCGUGCGC
rnacentral:rRNA from 1 species